UCCUAUUAUCUCGUUUGACUUUUGUCAAAAUCCCUAAAUCCCUUUCACGUUUCUUCUUCACUCAUUCCGUUUCUCUCUUCUCAAUCUAUUUGUUCUUCACAUCUAGAACUCUAACUUGGUAUUAGAACUUCUAAAUUCUGGAGAUUCGUCAGUUCGUCCAUCUGAGUUUCCUCCUUUGGUCUUCCUUUGAAGAUGGGUGUACUACCAGCAUCAUAUCAUGUUGUUCCUACAGCACCUCAAUCUGUACCUUUUAUUCAGACUGCUGCCACUUUUCAACCUUAGAUAGCUUCACAGGCACUCAUUGCUACACUAAAAACUGUGGAUGAUAAUGCACGGUAUCCGGAUUCUAGAGGCACCCAUCACCUUACCAAGGAUUUUAGCAAUCUUCAAAUUGGCAGCACAAAGAUGGGUUCAGGACAAUCAGAUUCUUCUUGAGUUUUAUACGAACUUCUGCUAAGUUCGUGAUCUUCGUACCUAUAAAGUGUUAUUAAAGGGAAGUGAAACCGAUGGUAUGUACAUGCUAUAUCUACAAAUAAUAUUGUUCAAACUACUGGUAAUAAAAAUGUUGUUAAUACGUCUGUUGUGAGUUGUAAUUUGGUUAGUGCUUUAAAGGUCUCUCUUGAAACCUGGCACAAGAGGCUGAGACACCCCUCGAAAGAGGUUUUGCAUACUGCUCUAAAACGUUGUAAUAUAACAUCUUUAUGCAUCAAUAAAGAUAAAAUUUUGUGUGAAGCAUGUCAAUUAGAAAACUUUUAUUUGUUCUUGGUAUAACUAAAAACUUGUUGUCUGUUUCAAAAUUUACUCAGGACAAUCAGGUUCUUCUUGAGUUUUAUUCGAACUUCUCCUAAGUUCGUGAUCUUCGUACCCAUAAAGUGUUUUUAAAGGGAAGUGAAACUGAUGGCCUAUACAUGCUAUAUCUACAAAUAAUAUUGUUCAAACUACUAGUAAUAAAAAUAUUGCUGUUAAUAAGUCUGUUGUGAGUUGUAAUUUGGUUAGUGCUCUAAAAGUCUCUCUUGAAACCUGGCACAAGAGGCUGGGAUACCCCUCGAAAGAGGUUUUGCAUACUGCUCUAAAACGUUGUAAUAUAACAUCUUUAUGCAUCAAUAAAGAGAAAAUUUUGUGUGAAGCAUGUCAGUUAGAAAAAUCUCAUAAAUUGCCUUUUUAUGACUCUCAAACAGUUUAUUCACAUCCUUUAGAGUUAAUUUUGGCUGAUCUUUAGGGCCAACACCUGUGUUUUCUAAUGGGUUCAAGUAUUAUGUAGCAUUUACUGAUGCAUACAGUAGGUAUACCUGGAUUUAUUUUCUUAAACGCAAAUCAGAGGUUAAAACAGUGUUUCCUCAGUUUCUUAGACAGGUUGAGAGGCAAUUUAAUGUCAAACUUAUGUUUCAAACGGAUGGCGGUGGUGAGUUUGGUGCUCUACAUUUUUACUUGAAAGAACAAGGAAUAACUCAUCGUAUGUCUUGUCCUCACACAUCCGAACAAAACGAUAUAGUAGAAAGGAAACACCGUCAAGUGGUUGAAGUUGUCCUGUCUAUGCUUGCCCAGGCCUCAUUACCUUUGACGUUUUGGAAUGAUGCGUCAGUGCAAUCUUUCUCAUCAACAAACUUCCUACAAGAGCUCUUGAAGGUAUGUCUCCUCAGGAUUUUUGGGUGUGCCAAACAUAAGCUUCAAUUUAAGUCGUCAAAAUGUGUCUUUCUAGGUUAUUCCCCUUCACAUAAAGGCUACAAGUGUCUAGAUA